rnacentral:lncRNA from 10 species
AUCACACCAGCUAUCUCCUGCUCCCUGUCCUGCACUGCAAAGGAGGCCUUUUCAUCCUCUCUACUGCCUCCAAUUUUUCUCACGAGGAAUGUGAGAGGAAAACCUAGAGCUUGUUCCUGAAGCAUGGUGCUAAGUCCAUAUGCAGCAGAUGGAGCUCAUGAGAAAAGAGUUGCUCUUGUGAAGACCAAAGCUUGUUUGUCAGUUUCAAAUACUCAUGUAUCUGAUUGUCAAUGCUGGAGAGCUGGGGCCAGGGCAGUAGUUGAUGAAUAUCACCUGACUGUCUCCUGCAGAAAAAGCAUUCCCAGAAGCACGGAGAAGUGAGGAGAAAAGGCAAUGCACCUGGAGCUGGAGACCAAGGCCCUGUUCUUACUGAUGGCCCUUGGAGCAGAUAUUUGAAUUGGAGAGAUAAAACCGUGGUUUUUGGGGUGUUAAUUUUGGUGGCUGAUGCAUUCUGUGAUUGAUUUGGCUAUUACAACUGGUAUUGAUUUUAAACACAUUAAUUGCAAAAUCUCAAUUGUGAUUUGAUUUCUGUAUUUACAAUACUAAAAACGAGGCUUUCGCCAGGAGAAGACAAUUGGCAGUACUCAGUUGGAAGUGCUUAAUUGUUAAUAUAUAUCAGCCGUGGUUCUUCAGCGUCGUCAGUGUUGCUCAGUCUUGCUCUUUGUGGCGACUACUGAAUGCUUGAAAAAUUCUCUCCUAUACUCCCACUCUGCACUGUAGAAGAGAAAGAGAGGAGAGUGGAAGAAAAAAGAGAGGGAGAGGAGAAAGAAAGAGAGGAGAGAGAAACAUGGGCAUGGAUGAUACAUAAGGUAGUUGUAAACUGUGAUCAGCUUUGAUAAUAACUAGAUAAAUUCUUUUAAUACAAAAAUAUAUAAGGCAUUUUGCCUUUUUUUCAAAUUUCAAAUAAAUGGAUUUGUAUAGAAUGUAGUCUGUUGCCCAGAGUUUUCAUUUAGCAUAAUGCAUUUGAGAUUUAUCCAUGUUGUUGUAUAUUCUUUUUAUUGCUGAGUAGUAUUCCAUUGUGUGGAUAUACCAGUUUGUUUAUCCAUUAACCUUUGAUGGAUAUUUGGGUUUUUUUCAAUAUGAGGCUCUUAUAAAUAAACCUUCUGUAAUCAGG